rnacentral:lncRNA from 1 species
CCCUGCCUUACUUCAGCGGUCUCCUCCUCUGGGAGUUCCUCAGCCAUCACCUCAUAUUGAUCGACAGCCUCAUAUUUAGUGUACUCUUUUUCUACGUUUUUCUUUGCUUGUUCCAAGAAGUGUUCAUACUUUUCAUUGCCUGUGGAGGAUGGGUGGAGGGGAGAGAAGCAACCUGGUCAGACACAGAGAUGAGUUUGGCUUCAAACCUCGACUCUCAGCUCAGGGGGGAGCGAGGAGGAGACGGAAUGUUUUGACAGUUCACCUAGCAUAUUUUCUUUCCCUUUGGAGGGACAGGUCAUUUGUGUGUGAGUAGAACUCGCACCUGAGACCUCACUGAGUUUAAUGACACAGCACGUGAGCUACAAACUGGUCCUCAGGAGCACAAGGCAUUAACAGGCUCCUGCAGGAAACUGCAGCUACAGAGAGCCACAUGUGAGGGUCAGGAAGGAGACCUUUGCCUCAUGGUUGAAAAUCGGGAUCCCUUGCAGGUUCGGGAUGUAUUGGAACUCUGCUCAGUUCUUAAUUCUAAACCUUCUACUCCUGACAGUCCCCUUUGGUGCUGAACGAACUGAGAUAGCUGGUCAGUGGCUUUUCACAUGCUAAGUACCUCCCAGUUAACAGAGGGUGUGUUGGGGUCAAGUCACUUUAAGUCAAGUGAGUCACAAUACCCUUCAUGAAGGUGGGUAGACAGUUGGCAGGGGGAAUUUCAGAUGCUUGGAUUGGCCAAAAGUCACUGCAAAUUCAAAUGCUUCAAAGGUAAAGUUAUAAUUUAAUGGAUGCUGCUCAGUGGGUGAGUUUGUGACUUUAGGAGGAGGAGAAGACCUGGGAAGUGAGCUUUCAUGUGAAACCCUGUCGGGAAAGCAGAACUAAGAAAUGCAAAGAGGAGGGAGGCCAUGAAGAGCAAGAGGUUUCCACCGAUCCGGUGGUUUUUUUUUUUUUUUUUUUUUUCAGGCAAAUAAAAUGACUAAACAAAGCGAGCAGCCACUGAUCUUCAAAGAUGAACAUCAAAGAAAACACUAGAAGAUUUUGUCCUCCACGCCCCGCCCCCCAGGGGUGGAUGGGGUGAUGUUUUCUGGGACCAGGUGGGCGAUCUGUAUCUGGAAGUUUCUUUGAAAGACCUCAGGUAUUCCAGGGUUGCAUCAGUUCACACUAACAACGGCUUUGUAAACCCAAAUGCUGACAAAGGGGAGCGGAAGAACGAGACAAGAAAGUAAUUAGAAAAAGAUAGAAAAACCAUCUGGCAAACUUUUAUAGAGAAAACACGAGGAAGGCAACGAUCCCACAGAUCCCAGUUUGUAAACUCCGACGAUGCUUUGUGAGCGAGCAACCUACAAAGAGGCUAUGGCAUAAGGGAAGGCGAGCAGAAAGCGUAAUGGUGAGACCCUGAAGUGCGUUCAAAGCAGAAGCCAUUAAAGAUGAGAAGGAGACCACUUAAAAUGGGCAAAAUGUGGCCUGUGAAGAACAUUUAAUGGGAGUAAGGUCUUACGUGUCAACCCAGAAAUGCACGUGUACACAGCAAAAAGUUUCCGUAUUUAUA